rnacentral:lncRNA from 1 species
AAAAAAGUACGUUGGUUCUUGAGAUGUAGCAAAACUCGACGUCGGUUGUAGCUAAGUGGUGUGUCCGUUAUAACAUAAUAUGGUACCGAUUGUAGCAUGUAACAUAAAACGUGACGUAUGCAGCGUUGCUCGUAACAGUGUCGAUGUCCUCGCAGCUCACGGUCAUCAUGCUCGCCGUCCAUGAUGGCAGCUCUCCUGGACACCGCUUGCAGCAGACCACGACGCGGUUCCAGCUUACGCCUAGGCCGGUUGCAACACGUCUCACUGUGGGUGCAUCUUCUCCGGUGAUAGAUCGCCGCUCGUAGUUCAUGCUCGUCGGAGCGUGCAGCACGACCCGAAGGGCAACGGGGUGUAGGGUCGCAUGGCCAGGACGUCGCCCCAGGCGAGCGAUUGUCCGUCGUGGCUGGUUGCGGCACGCAGUCCUAGCCCGUCCUGACUCGAGACCGAUGACCUUACCUUCGAGCAACAGAUGACUGAUGUGUGGUGG